rnacentral:rRNA from 1 species
UACAUAGGUCCCAAGCGUUGUUCGGAUUCACUGGGCGUAAAGGGUGCGUAGGCGGUCGGGUAAGUCUGAUGUGAAAUCUCACAGCUUAACUGUGAAACUGCAUUGGAUACUAUCCGGCUCGAGGAAUGGAGGGGAGACUGGAAUACUUGGUGUAGCAGUGAAAUGCGUAGAUAUCAAGUGGAACACCAGUGGCGAAGGCGAGUCUCUGGACAUUUCCUGACGCUGAGACACGAAAGCCAGGGGAGCAAACGGG